UCGCAUUACUCUCUCACUCAUCAAUUUUAAUCGAUCUGGAGAAAAUGGCGAACAAGCAAUUGUCUUUGCACGUUGUGGGCCUGACUGUAUUGGUGUUGUUGUUGUCAUGUUUUGUUAACUACAGUGUCUCUAAACAGAUCAAAACCUAUAAGCUCACCAGAGGAAAGUUGUCUGUUACAUUCACUAACUAUGGCGCUGUUAUGACCUCUCUUCUUCUCCCAGACAGACAUGGUCUCUCUCUCUCUCUCCCAAAUCUUCUCUCUUCUCUUCCCAUUUUCUGAUUUAGAUCUGAUUUUGUUUUUCUUCUAAUGUAAUUCAGGAAAGCAAGAUGAUGUUGUUCUUGGAUUUGAUACUGUUGAUGCUUACAAGGUAAUAUCUUUUAUUAUUUUUUUCAUGUUAUAACUUUUUGGUAAAAAACAUAUAUGCGGUUUGGAUAGAAUAGAACUGGAUGUUCGGCUCAAAAGCACCUUACUUAUCGUCACGUCCUUCAAUGUCUUCAUUUAUUAAAAACGAUCGUUUUUUUAUUUACUUUAUAUUAUAAUCUCACUAGUGGUGAGUCCACACUUGUGGUGUUAUUUUGUUCGAAGAAACGACAAUACUUUAUAAUUUACUUUUUUUUUUUUUUUGGAUUUUUUUAGAGUAAUUGACGUGGAUACACCAAAAAACCUAUAUAAUUUGCCAUAUACCCUUGUUUUUUUUUAAUAUUUUUUAUGACUAUAAUACCCUUAUCUCUAGGUCUGUCUCUUUUCCCUUUUCUUUGUUCUAAUCUCUUUAUCUCUGGUACAAAUUCUUCAAAUCAUCUUCUAAUUCAACAUAAAUCUUUAUUUUUUUAUUCUGAUUCUUUUGACACCCAUAAUGCUAAUCUUAUUAUCUCACCCUAAUUCCAAUGUUUCCAAUUUCGAAUCACAAUUUAGAUAAUAUAUAUGUUGGUAGGUAUUUUAUUACUUAACUGCUAUUAUUUAGAUUUUAGUGGAUUCUUAAUCGAUACGUGGAGUGUUAGCUGUUACAAAUAUAUUUGAGGCUAUUUGAUAGAUAACUAAUUAAUUGUUAAUAGUUUCAUUAACUGAUAUAUAAUUUGUUAGUCGAUACAUUUGUUUGAUACACAGAUUGUUAGCUGAUACUGAAAUUAUUAGCUGAUAUGUUAGUUGGUAUGUAGAUUGUUAUCUGCUAUGUAAAUAUUUAGCUGAUAGAUCUAGAGUUACAUGGUUUCGAUAUAUUUUUGUCUGCACAGUGUCAAAAGGUUAUUCUUUUUUUGGUUAUCUAUAAUCAUGGGCAUUCAGCUAAUUUGGAUCUUAAUUGAGUAUAUUCAACUUAUUAUCCCUUUUUUUUUUAUAUUAGAAUGAUACAACUUAUUUUGGGGCAAUCGUGGGAAGAGUCGCUAAUAGAAUUGGAGGUGCUAAGUUCGAAUUAAAUGGUCAAUUGUACAAGACCGAUCCCAACGAAGGCCAUAACACCCUUCAUGGUACCCCUUUUUCAGUUGAUUAUUUUUGAAAUAUUUCUUUUCAAUCAGAUAAAAAAAUGUUAUUUAUGGUUAUUUCAGGUGGUACAAAGGGAUUCGGCGAUGUGACUUGGUCAGUCGAAAACUACGUUCCCACAAGCCACAUCACUUUCAUAUACCAGAGUUUCGACGGUGAAGAGGGUAAUACGAUCUAUAUUUAUAACUUUAAAAAUACAUAGAUCGUGUCAUCAACUUAUGAAAUUAAUGAUUCUUCAAAACAUAUUUUAAUGAAAUUAAUAAAGCGGGAAUUAAAAUACUGGAAAAUGUUUGGGUUAUAUUGCUUUUUUCAACUUAAGACAAUAAAAAUAUCUUAGUUUUCGAAAGCAAAAUAGAUAACCGAUUGUACAUAUUUACAUUUUUGGGAGAUUAAUCCAAAAUGUAUUAAUCCUUGGGUGGUUUAAGUUAACUGAAUAGUAUUUAACAGUGGAAAGAAUGAAUUUAUUGGCACAGACUUUCAUGCUGUCAUUCAUAGAACUAUAAAAUUAUUGGCAGAGACUUUAAUAGAACUAUAAAAAUUAAAUUUGGCAGGUUUCCCCGGGAAUGUGACGGUGAAAGUGACGUACAUGUUGAUCGGAGAAAACAAACUAGCUUUGAAAAUGGAAGGAAAGCCACUCAACAAACCCACACCGAUCAACUUAGCCCUCCACACAUACUGGAACCUCCACGGCCACAACUCCGGCGACAUCCUCUCCCACAAAAUCCAGCUUCUCGCCAAAAAAAUCACUCCGGUCGACGAAGAACUCAUCCCCACCGGCGAAAUCACCUCAAUCGAAGGAACUCCUUACGACUUCCUCGAGCCCCGCGAGAUCGGAAGCCGGAUCCAUAUUAUUUUAUUUUUGUUAUUGAAAAGCUAUUAUAAAAAUUAAUUUUAUAAUAAUUCUUAUUUAAUUAAUUAUUUUAUUUUUAGCCAAAGUUCUUAUUUGUUAUUAAAAAUUAAUCAAAUGAUUUAUUUUAUGGUAACUGAAAAUUGAAAUUUAAUAUUUAGUUAUAUUUUGUACAAAACUUGAUAUCAUCUUAUAUUUUCAAUGAUUAAGAAUAUUAUGUUCAUAUAUAUUACAAUUUUUUAAUCUAUUGACAUGCGGUUCAACAAUGGUCGACCUAGUGACCCAGUGACUCAGAAAAAAAUUGGUUCAGAAUCCAGAUCAAUUUAAAACAUUAUAUAAAAUAAAUUUGUCCUUCACUAAAUUUUAUAAGGAAUAAUUAAUCUUUCCUAUAAUGUUAUUCUUAUCCGUUCGUAAUGUUUCUUUGAUGGUUACCAGUUAGAUCCUAAACAAAAUUAAAGGACAUAACUAUCUUAAAAUCACUUGCAUUCUCUAGUAUAAUUUGCUGUUUAAAGUUUUCUUUUAUUUUUUAAAAAUCCAAGAAUAUAUGAAUUUGAUUUUCCAUUUAGUCAUAGACUAUUAUUUCAAAAUAAAAUACUCUACUACUUUUUUAUAAAAUUUUACGUUUACAUCUAAAAGCUUUUGAUGUCUUUUAACUGACAUACGCAGGAUAUUUUAGUAAAGCAAUAUUUGUGGCUAUUUCUAUAAGAAGCAAAAUGUUUAGUAUAAUAUGAAACUAAAUAUGCAAAAAGUUGGUUUCUUAGAUUAAGUACAACUUAUAUAUUUGAAGUAUAUAGUAAAAUUAAAAUGAAGCAUACAAUUUGAUUAGUUCUUUAAGAAAUUUGAAUGGUAAACACAAGCUUAUUUUCUAGAAAGGGGGAACGAAGAAUAAUAUGAUCAGUCUAGCGUUAUCGUUCUCAUCCACAAAUAUUAAAUCAGACGAGUCAUGCUUGAGGUAGCUAUAUUUACGGGAGAGUCUUUGCAUCUUAUCCCUUUUGUCUAGGUUUCAAAAGUCUGAUCUGCUCUAUUUUCGGACUUUGAUUUCUUUUUAAAUUUUAAUUUACUAUUUUUUCUAUUACAAAAAGGUAAAACAUGUUUUAAAUGGCCUAAAAUUUUUAAAGUUUAACCGAGACAAGUUCAAUAUGUUAUAUUUUCUCAAUUCUCUAUUUUCUUAUUACCUUAACCACUUCCAGACUCUAAAAUCUAAAUCAAAAUAUAAUUAUUAUCUCAAUUCUUCUAUUUUCUAAGAACAAAAAGUAAAUAAUGAGGCCACGUACUUGGGGUAAACUGCUUGAAGAGUAACAGAUUUGAUUUACAAAUUGGUUUCCAUUUAAAGAAACAAGAAAUAUUAGUUACGACUUACGAUAUACUUUCAAAAAGAAUAUUUAAUAACAAAUCAAUUUCAAGAAAUUUAUCCAUUGAAAGAAAAAAGCGUGUACCACAAGUCCGUGAAUGCAUUUACGCAUGGUAUAUCCAACUCAAAAGAAAAGUAAAACAAAAAAUAGUCGAAUAUACACCUUUAAAAAAAUCGCCAAAAUAUAGUAUAACUAAAAACAAAAUAUAUAUUCAUUUUUAUUUUAAAUUUUUCUUUAAACUGAGAGGUUUCUUCAAGUAUAAGAUAUUUACCAAUUUCACUUAGGAUGUUUUGUCUGAGAAAGUUUUGUGAGUUGAUAAAGUGAGUUUUGAACCUAUUUAUGAUAAUAUAUAUAAGAGAAAUAAGGUUUAAGAAAUAAAUCCCAAAAUAUAAAAGUCAACUAAAAUAUCUUCUAACAAAUUGAAAUUACAACCAAAUUUUUUGAAAAGUCUCGGAUAAUAAUCUCAUCUCUCUCAUUUACAGGCUAGUAUAAAAUUAUAAAUAGGAUACAAAUACAUACACACAGUACAAGGAGAAAAAUCCAAACUUUCAGUUUCUCUCUCUCUCUCUCUCCAUUUCUCUCGCAUUACUCUCUCACUCAUCAAUUUUAAUCGAUCUGGAGAAAAUGGCGAACAAGCAAUUGUCUUUGCACGUUGUGGGCCUGACUGUAUUGGUGUUGUUGUUGUCAUGUUUUGUUAACUACAGUGUCUCUAAACAGAUCAAAACCUAUAAGCUCACCAGAGGAAAGUUGUCUGUUACAUUCACUAACUAUGGCGCUGUUAUGACCUCUCUUCUUCUCCCAGACAGACAUGGUCUCUCUCUCUCUCUCCCAAAUCUUCUCUCUUCUCUUC
rnacentral:lncRNA from 1 species